rnacentral:tRNA from 2 species
GGGGAGAUACUCAAGCGGCCAACGAGGGCAGACUGUAAAUCUGCUGGUUUCACCUUCGCAGGUUCGAAUCCUGCUCUCCCCACAA